UAUUAAAAUUUUCAUCCACUUCUUUUGUUAAAAACUAGUAUGGUUGAUGAAAUAAACAGACAGUUAUACAUGGGUGCCAUGUGUACCUUAUGUUAAUGUAUAGGAACUAGCUUCUAACAAUAAAAAUGAUGGAAUUUUUAAUA
rfam:Gossypium raimondii Chr01_contig_100, whole genome shotgun sequence.